rnacentral:rRNA from 1 species
UUAAAAUAGUCGGCGAGCGGCGGACGGCUGAGUAACGCGUGGGAACGUACCCCAAAGUGAGGGAUAACGCAUCGAAAGGUGUGCUAAUACCGCAUAUGGUCUUCGGAUUAAAGCCUCGGCGCUUGGGAACAGCCUGCGUAAGAUUAGAUAGUUGGUGGGGUAAUGGCCUACCAAGUCGACGAUCUUUAACUGGUUUGAGAGGAUGAUCAGUCAGACUGGAACUGAGACACGGUCCAG